GGUGUUUCAGGUGCGGACAGUUGGGCCAUCAGAGGAAAGAUUGCCCUAACAAUACUCCAACUAGAGGUCUUCUACAGAAGCCAAAUACUUUACCAAGAAUUUAGAAUAGGGGUGACAAUUAUAUUAUUGAUAUACAAGCAGAUAAAGUGGAAACUAGUAUCAGUGGGCAGGAUGCUAUAUUAGGCAGGCCGAGGGAUGAAGCGAGAGUGUUUGCCAUGACCAGACA
rnacentral:lncRNA from 1 species